AACGAGCGCUGGCGGCAUGCCUAUCACAUGCAAGUCGAACGAGACCUUCGGGUCUAGUGGCGCACGGGUGCGUAACGCGUGGGAACCUGCCCUUAGGUUCGGAAUAACUCCCCGAAAGGGGUGCUAAUACCGGAUAAUGUCUUCGGACCAAAGAUUUAUCGCCUUUGGAUGGGCCCGCGUUGGAUUAGCUAGUUGGUAGGGUAAAAGCCUACCAAGGCGACGAUCCAUAGCUGGUCUGAGAGGAUGAUCAGCCACACUGGGACUGAGACACGGCCCAGACUCCUACGGGAGGCAGCAGUGGGGAAUAUUGGACAAUGGGCGAAAGCCUGAUCCAGCAAUGCCGCGUGAGUGAUGAAGGCCUUAGGGUUGUAAAGCUCUUUUACCCGGGAUGAUAAUGACAGUACCGGGAGAAUAAGCUCCGGCUAACUCCGUG
rnacentral:rRNA from 1 species